rnacentral:rRNA from 1 species
UACGGAGGAUGCGAGCGUUAUCCGGAUUUAUUGGGUUUAAAGGGUGCGUAGGCGGACGCUUAAGUCAGCGGUAAAAUUGCGGGGCUCAACCUCGUCGAGCCGUUGAAACUGGGUGCCUUGAGUGGGCGAGAAGUACGCGGAAUGCGUGGUGUAGCGGUGAAAUGCGUAGAUAUCACGCAGAACUCCGAUUGCGAAGGCAGCGUACCGGCGCCCAACUGACGCUGAAGCACGAAGGCGUGGGUAUCGAACAGG